rnacentral:rRNA from 1 species
GAUGAACGCUGGCGGCGUGCCUAACACAUGCAAGUCGAGCGAUUCUCUUCGGAGAAGAGCGGCGGACGGGUGAGUAACGCGUGGGUAACCUGCCCUGUACACACGGAUAACAUACCGAAAGGUAUGCUAAUACGGGAUAACAUAAGAAAUUCGCAUGUUUUUCUUAUCAAAGCUCCGGCGGUACAGGAUGGACCCGCGUCUGAUUAGCUAGUUGGUGAGGUAACGGCUCACCAAGGCGACGAUCAGUAGCCGACCUGAGAGGGUGAUCAGCCACAUUGGAACUGAGACACGGUCCAAACUCCUACGGGAGGCAGCAGUGGGGAAUAUUGCACAAUGGGCGAAAGCCUGAUGCAGCAACGCCGCGUGAGCGAUGAAGGCCUUCGGGUCGUAAAGCUCUGUCCUCAAGGAAGAUAAUGACGGUACUUGAGGAGGAAGCCCCGGCUAACUACGUGCCAGCCGCCGCGGUAAGAC